GGCCUGUGUUCCCAGACUGCCUGGCUGUGCCGGGAGUUCUGUCCCGGGAGAGACACAGCUUCGUCUCAGCUGCGGCCGUGUCCCCAAGGCUCUGUUCCCUGCGUGCAAAGGUGGAUAUGUCUUCCUUUAGUCUCCUCAUGGCCACAAUUUAAUUUUUUUGAAAAGUUUUUGGCCAAAUAACCUGGCUACCAACCCGGGGCUCCAGUGUUGGGAGGAGGGUGAUGAGGGGAAGGACGUGACUCUGGGACAGUGCCUGCCUUCAAAAAGUGCUUCCUUUCUUCCUCUUCCUGCAGGUAAAUUCGAACCACCAUUAUUUCACCCGAAUGUGUACCCUUCGGGGACAGUGUGCCUGUCCAUCUUAGAGGAGGACAAGGACUGGAGGCCAGCCAUCACAAUCAAACAGAUCCUAUUAGGAAUACAGGAACUUCUAAAUGAACCAAAUAUCCAAGACCCAGCUCAAGCAGAGGCCUACACAAUUUACUGCCAAAACAGAGUGGA
rnacentral:sRNA from 1 species